AUGCUCACUUCAGCAGCACAUAUACUAAAAUUGGAACCACACAGAGAAGAUUAGCACGGCCCCUGAGCAAGGAUAACACGCAAAUUCAUGAAGCGUUCCAUAUUUUU
rnacentral:snRNA from 1 species